rnacentral:rRNA from 1 species
UCACCUAGAGAUGGAUCCGCGGUGCAUUAGUUAGUUGGUGGGGUAAAGGCCUACCAAGACAAUGAUGCAUAGCCGAGUUGAGAGACUGAUCGGCCACAUUGGGACUGAGACACGGCCCAAACUCCUACGGGAGGCUGCAGUAGGGAAUCCUCCACAAUGGGCGAAAGCCUGAUGGAGCAACGCCGCGUGUGUGAUGAAGGCUUUCGGGUCGUAAAGCACUGUUGUAUGGGAAGAACAGCUAGAAUAGGGAAUGAUUUUAGUUUGACGGUACCAUACCAGAAAGGGACGGCUAAAUACGUGCCAGCAGCCGCGGUAAUACGUAUGUCCCGAGCGUUAUCCGGAUUUAUUGGGCGUAAAGCGAGCGCAGACGGUUGAUUAAGUCUGAUGUGAAAGCCCGGAGCUCAACUCCGGAAUGGCAUUGGAAACUGGUUAACUUGAGUGCAGUAGAGGUAAGUGGAACUCCAUGUGUAGCGGUGGAAUGCGUAGAUAU